GAGAAGGGCGUUUGGUGAAUGCCUAGGCAGUAAGAGGCGAUGAAGGACGUGAUACUCUGCGAUAAGCCAUGAGGAGCUGAGAAUAAGCUUUGAUCCAUGGAUUUCCGAAUGGGGCAACCCACUUGAUUGUUUAUUAUUGUCGGCCGCAAGGUCGAUCAAUAGUAGGCAAAACCAAGUACUUAUAGACUGAAUACAUAGGUUUAUAAGAGCGAACCCGGGGAACUGAAACAUCUAAGUACC
rnacentral:rRNA from 16 species